GAUGAACGCUGGCGGCGUGCCUAAUACAUGCAAGUCGAACGCCCCGCAAGGGGAGUGGCGCACGGGUGAGUAACGCGUGGGAAUAUGCCCUUCGGUUCGGAAUAACACAGGGAAACUUGUGCUAAUACCGGAUACGAUCUACGGAUGAAAGAUUUAUCGCCGAGGGAGUAGCCCGCGUAGGAUUAGCUAGUUGGUGAGGUAAUGGCUCACCAAGGCGACGAUCCUUAGCUGGUCUGAGAGGAUGAUCAGCCACACUGGGACUGAGACACGGCCCAGACUCCUACGGGAGGCAGCAGUGGGAAUAUUGGACAAUGGGCGAAAGCCUGAUCCAGCAAUGCCGCGUGAGUGAAGAAGGCCUUCGGGUUGUAAAGCUCUUUUACCCGGGAAGAUAAUGACUGUACCGGGAGAAUAAGCCCCGGCUAACUCCGUGCCAGCAGCCGCCGUAA
rnacentral:rRNA from 1 species